rnacentral:rRNA from 1 species
UACAGAGGGUGCGAGCGUUAAUCGGAAUUACUGGGCGUAAAGCGCGCGUAGGCGGCUUUGCAAGUCGGGUGUGAAAUCCCCAGGCUUAACCUGGGAACUGCAUUCGAGACUGCAUUGCUAGAGUAUGGGAGAGGGAAGUGGAAUUUCCGGUGUAGCGGUGAAAUGCGUAGAUAUCGGAAGGAACAUCAGUGGCGAAGGCGGCGUCCUGGACCAACACUGACACUGAUGAGCGAAAGCCAGGGGAGCAAACGGG